AAUUCAGGGACUUGGAUACUAUUGGAAUGGGUAGUCACCAGAGUAGAGACGUGUCUAAUUCAGGUCACAACGUAGCGCGUGUAUUAGACUAGUAAUAAACACCAGAUGUAUUAAAAACAAAACAAAACCCACACACCACAUAGACAAAACAGAGUCAUCGGCUUAUAUCAGUAAAAAGGGAAUUAGGGUUUCGGUUCUAGCAGCUAAUAGAUUCAAGCAGGUGAGUUUAGGUUCAAUCUAUAUGAUUGGGGUUGUCUAUACUAUUGUGUGUUGAUUGUUAUGUGUAUAUUGGUAGGGCGAGUGUUAUGUUGGUUGGUUUGAAAUCGAGACCGAGGGUGCAGAGGCGAUCGGAGUGGGUGGAGUCGACGGCGAUGUCGCCGGAGGGAUAAGGGGAAGAGGUUGUCGGGACGGCGAGGCGGGCUGGAAAGGAGACACUAGUUGGUUUCAGGCGGAGACGCCGCUCGUUUAUGGAGUGCGGCGGAAAGAGGAUUACUACUGAUUGCUAGUACCACACUUGUUUAGUUAUUAAAUAACAUGCUUAGUCAAGAGCUGACAUUUGUGGACAAAAGCAGUGUAUUAACAGACAUGGAUAUUGAAUUGUUAAUUGUUGAGAUUCAAGAGUUGAUAGAGACUCCAGGUUCUAAAGCAAGUACCAGUUAGAGUACAGCAAAAAGUGCUAAUCUUUCAGCGAGACCUAAGUAUGUCGAGGAUGCGCCUUACUGCUCGCAAGAGGGUCCCACUUAAUCAUCCUCAAUUGUUUCGGUUCAAUCUUCCUGCUCACGUAGGAAGAAUCCAGAGUGUACAUAGACUUUUGGUAAUGUGCAAUAAAAUAUGAACUAGUCAUAAAAUUUAUCUAGACUUUUGGAGGAUUUGUGUAGUUUCCUGUAGAAGAUACUCUAAACAGGUGUGUAGUGUGUAAUCACAUAAUGAUUUUAUUUAGUGCUUGUUUCA